CGUUGAAACACUGGUUCUCGGACGAUCACAGAAGUUAAGCAACGUCAAGCCUGGUCAAUACCUAGAUGGGUGAUCGCAGGGGAAUAUCAGGUGCU